rnacentral:misc_RNA from 1 species
GAUGAAGAACGUAGCGAAAUGCGAAAAGUAGUGUGAAUUGCAGAAUUCAGUGAAUCAUCGAAUCUUUGAACGCACAUUGCGCCCGCCAGUAUUCUGGCGGGCAUGCCUGUUCGAGCGUCAUUACAACCCUCAGGCCCCCGGGCCUGGCGUUGGGGAUCGGCGGAGCCCCCCGUGGGCACACGCCGUCCCCCAAAUGCAGUGGCGGUCCCGCCGCAGCUUCCAUCGCGUAGUAGCUAACACCUCGCGACUGGAGAGCGGCGCGGCCACGCCGUAAAACACCCAACUCUUCUGAAGUUGACCUCGAAUCAGGUAGGAAUACCCGCUGAACUUAAGCAUAUCAAUAAGCGGAGGA